UAAGGAAUAUUGGUCAAUGGACGCAAGUCUGAACCAGCCAUGCCGCGUGAAGGAUGAAGGUCCUCUGGAUUGUAAACUUCUUUUAUCUGGGACGAAAACGGGAUUUUUAUCUCAAUUGACGGUACCAGAGGAAUAAGCACCGGCUAACUCCGUGCCAGUAGCCGCGGUAAUACGGAGGGUGCGAGCGUUAUCCGGAUUUACUGGGUUUAAAGGGUGCGUAGGUGGGCUUAUAAGUCAGUGGUGAAAUCUCCGAGCUUAACUUGGAAACUGCCGUUGAUACUAUAGGUCUUGAAUUAUCUGGAGGUAAGCGGAAUAUGUCAUGUAGCGGUGAAAUGCUUAGAUAUGACAUAGAACACCAAUUGCGAAGGCAGCUUACUACAUAUAAAUUGACGCUGAGGCACGAAAGCGUGGGGAUCAAACA
rnacentral:rRNA from 1 species